AGCGAACGCUGGCGGCAGGCUUAACACAUGCAAGUCGAGCGGGCAUCCUUGUGGUGUCAGCGGCAGACGGGUGAGUAACGCGUGGGAACGUGCCCUUCGGUUCGGAAUAACUCAGGGAAACUUGAGCUAAUACCGGAUACGUGCGAGAGCAGAAAGGUUUAUCUGCCGAAGGAUCGGCCCGCGUCUGAUUAGCUAGCUGGUGAGGUUAUGGCUCACCAAGGCGACGAUCAGUAGCUGGUCUGAGAGGAUGAUCAGCCACACUGGGACUGAGACACGGCCCAGACUCCUACGGGAGGCAGCAGUGGGGAAUAUUGGACAAUGGGGGCAACCCUGAUCCAGCCAUGCCGCGUGAGUGAUGACGGCCUUAGGGUUGUAAAGCUCUUUUCUCCGGGACGAUAAUGACGGUACCGGAGGAAUAAGCCCCGGCUAACUUCGUG
rnacentral:rRNA from 1 species